rfam:Picea glauca, whole genome shotgun sequence.
GUCGUUGUAGUAUAGUGGUAAGUAUUCCUUCCUGUCACGUGGGUGACCCGGGUUCGAUCCUCGACAAUCACG